rnacentral:rRNA from 1 species
AGUUUGAUCCUGGCUCAGAACGAACGCUGGCGGCAUGCCUAACACAUGCAAGUCGAACGAAGGCUUCGGCCUUAGUGGCGCACGGGUGCGUAACGCGUGGGAACCUGCCCCUCGGUUCGGAAUAACAGUUAGAAAUGACUGCUAAUACCGGAUGAUGACUUCGGUCCAAAGAUUUAUCGCCGAGGGAUGGGCCCGCGUAGGAUUAGCUAGUUGGUGGGGUAAAGGCCUACCAAGGCGACGAUCCUUAGCUGGUCUGAGAGGAUGAUCAGCCACACUGGGACUGAGACACGGCCCAGACUCCUACGGGAGGCAGCAGUGGGGAAUAUUGGACAAUGGGCGAAAGCCUGAUCCAGCAAUGCCGCGUGAGUGAGGAAGGCCUUAGGGUUGUAAAGCUCUUUUACCUAGGGAUGAUAAUGACAGUACCUGGAGAAUAAGCUCCGGCUAACUCCGUG